rnacentral:rRNA from 1 species
GUACACGCUGUGACUAGCAUAUCAAUAAGCGGAGGAAAAGAAACUAACAAGGAUUCCCCUAGUAACGGCGAGUGAAGCGGGAAGAGCUCAAAUUUGAAAUCUCAAAGGGUUUCCCUUUACGAAUUGUAGUUUAAGGAAGUGUUUUCUGUUGAGGUUUGGUAAAAGUUCUUUGGAAUAGGACAUCAUAGAGGGUGAGAAUCCCGUAUUCGACCUUUACUUUCAACUUUGUGAUACACUUUCAAAGAGUCGGAUUGUUUGGGAAUGCAGUCCAAAAUGGGUGGUAAAUUUCAUCUAAAGCUAAAUAUUGGCGAGAGACCGAUAGCGAACAAGUACCGUGAGGGAAAGAUGAAAAGAACUUUGAAAAGAGAGUUAAACAGUACGUGAAAUUGUCAAAAGGGAAGCGUUUGACACCAGUGUUGUUUUUCUGAAAAUCAAUUAAAGAACUGUUUAUGCUAAGUUGUUUAGACUUUAUCAGCUAUCUGUUUAGUUUUGAGCUUUUCUUUAAUGCACUUUUCAGUUAACAAGUCAACAUCAAUUUCUUUUGCUGUAAAAAAGCUUGAGGAAGGUGGCUUGAGAUUCGUCUUAAGUGUUUAUAGCCUCUUGCCUAUGCAGUCGGAGAGAUUGAGGUCUGCAGCGUAGAUCCUUCGGGGCUAAAUGCAUUUGUGCUAAGUUAUAACAUUUUAUAGACAACUUGUUGACUAUGAUUUGUCUUGUAACUUACUCGCUUAUGUUAUUUUACCUACGCUUAGGAUGUUGACGCGCGUGUGUGCGUG